CCUGCUCUCCAGCUCCUACACUCAUUACCCUCACAUUUCAUCAGCUCCUGGACUCAUUACUCUCACAUUUAUAAAACGCACUCUCACCCCUCUGGAAAUCGCACACUUCCUCCUUCUCUUCUUUCUUCUCCCUUCUCCCUCUUUCUUGCUCUUCCUUUACUCUCUUCUAACCAAGAGAUGCAGAGCGACCGAGCAAGAGAGUGAGAGACCGUGAGAUUGAGAGAAACAAGAGGGAGAGAUCGUGACAGAGAGAGAGUGAGUCCGAAAGAGAGAGAUGCUGUCGGAGAGGGAGUGCGAACCGGAGAAGGAGAGAAACCCAGAGACCCGGAGACCCGAUCGUGGAGGAACCGUAGCAGACUCGAGCAGAACCCGUCAACGCCGGUGACCUGUGAGCUGUGGAGAACCGAAGUGUGAAACCCGAUUCCCCCGAAGGCGCGAUUUCCGGCUGGAUGGCAGUGGGUCUGACGAUUUUUGGUGGGACCAGGCGUGAGCUCCGUGGGUCAUCCGUUGGGGCAUUCUCCGGCGAAAUCUGUAGCUAUUUCUAGCGAAACCACGAGCCAAUCUCCGAUGAUGAACUGAGAGACUGUACAAAAAGACUCCCAUUAUGCAGGUACGAAAGAGUAUAAAGCUCAAGGAUUGGAUUUUGUUAGCACUGAAGAGUUAGAACUGUUUAUUAAUGUAGCUAAUGAUUGUAGUGAUUUCUUUGUAUCAAUUUGAAAUGUAAUAUUUUAAUUACAUUUGUCAUUCAGUAAACUCUGAUGUAUCUUUUUAAAGAAAAUAAAUAUAUUCCGCUGCGUAAGUUAUCUUUGAUGUAGUAAUGUCAUGUGGAAACUGGAGGUUUCCGCUUACAAAUUUGCUGGCCCAAAUUCGGGGCGUUACAAUCUGGACGCUAUCCUUGAUAAGGCAAGUCGUGCAGAAGACGUUCAACUGUCCGGACGUCAGUUUACACUGUCCGGACA